rnacentral:rRNA from 1 species
GUGGGGAAUAUUGGACAAUGGGGGGAACCCUGAUCCAGCCAUGCCGCGUGUGUGAAGAAGGCCUUUUGGUUGUAAAGCACUUUAAGCGAGGAGGAAGCUACCGAGAUUAAUACUCUUGGAUAGUGGACGUUACUCGCAGAAUAAGCACCGGCUAACUCUGUGCCAGCAGCCGCGGUAAUACAGAGGGUGCAAGCGUUAAUCGGAUUUACUGGGCGUAAAGCGCGCGUAGGUGGCCAAUUAAGUCAAAUGUGAAAUCCCCGAGCUUAACUUGGGAAUUGCAUUCGAUACUGGUUGGCUAGAGUAUGGGAGAGGAUGGUAGAAUUCCAGGUGUAGCGGUGAAAUGCGUAGAGAUCUGGAGGAAUACCGAUGGCGAAGGCAGCCAUCUGGCCUAAUACUGACACUGAGGUGCGAAAGCAUGGGGAGCAAACAGGAUUAGAAACCCCGGUAGUCC